AGUGAACGCUGGCGGUAGGCCUAACACAUGCAAGUCGAACGGCAGCACAGUAAGAGCUUGCUCUUACGGGUGGCGAGUGGCGGACGGGUGAGGAAUACAUCGGAAUCUACUUUUUCGUGGGGGAUAACGUAGGGAAACUUACGCUAAUACCGCAUACGACCUACGGGUGAAAGCAGGGGAUCUUCGGACCUUGCGCGAUUGAAUGAGCCGAUGUCGGAUUAGCUAGUUGGCGGGGUAAAGGCCCACCAAGGCGACGAUCCGUAGCUGGUCUGAGAGGAUGAUCAGCCACACUGGAACUGGGACACGGUCCAGACUCCUACGGGAGGCAGCAGUGGGGAAUAUUGGACAAUGGGGGCAAACCUUAUCCAGCCAUACCGCGUGGGUGAAGAAGGCGUUCGGGUUGUAAAGCCCUUUUGUUGGGAAAGAAAAGCAGCAGGUUAAUACCCCGCUGUUCUGACGGUACCCAAAGAAUAAGCACCGGCUAACUUCGUG
rnacentral:rRNA from 1 species